rnacentral:lncRNA from 10 species
AUAGAUAUAUACCAUCACACUUGGCUAAUUUUAAAUUAUUUUGUAGAGACAAGGUCUUGCUAUGUUGCCAGGCUGGCCUGGAACUAAUGGCUUCAAGGCCUGCUUUGGCCUCCCAAAGCACUGAGACUAUAGGCAUGAGUCAUCGUGCUUGGCCCCGUAUUAUUUUAUAGGACCACACUAGUUUAUGUGGCCCAUUGUUGACUGAAAUAUCCUUAUGUGCAAAUGACUAUAUGUAGAAAUAAAGUAACCUUAAUGUGUUGGUCCUGAAAGGUGUCUUGUCAUUCACUGGAUGUAGACAUUUCUGACUGGUUGGAGCUAAUAAAGUGCUCUUCAUAGAGCCAGGGCUUAGAGUCAUAAUUCACACACAUGUAAACACUAAAAUACACACCUUAAUUUUCACUCACUCUAAUUUACUAAGCUUUGUAAUGUAUCCACAUAUAUAUAAUCAUAAUCACUGUGAACAAGGUAUAUUCUUUAAAUAUCUUGACAACGUUCCGCUCUGUCCAGUCACUCAGAAUAUAAAAAGAAUUCCCAAAGGGGUCCUCAGCAUUUAGUACUUCCAAACAAAUGUAACUCCAUUCAUAUAAUUUAUAUAUAAUUCUACCAAAUGCAUUUUGUUUGAAAUAUUUCCUAUAUCUCUUUUGUUUGCCAAGAUAAUAUUUAGCCCCAAUGGUCAUUUAUAAGAUCCUUAUAUGGGUCUGUUUUGUUCAUUCUUCUGUCUUCAUAAUGACUUAUGAAGCCUUUUGAUGAUGCUAUUUUUUACC